GUGGGGAAUAUUGCACAAUGGGGGAAACCCUGAUGCAGCGACGCCGCGUGAGUGAAGAAGUAUUUCGGUACGUAAAGCUCUAUCAGCAAGGAAGAAAAUGACGGUACUUGACUAAGAAGCCCCGGCUAACUACGUGCCAGCAGCCGCGGUAAUACGUAGGGGGCAAGCGUUAUCCGGAUUUACUGGGUGUAAAGGGAGCGUAGAUGGUAUGGUAAGUCAGAUGUGAAAGCCCGGGGCUCAACCCCGGGACUGCAUUUGAAACUAUCAGACUAGAGUGCAGGAGAGGUAAGUGGAAUUCCUAGUGUAGCGGUGAAAUGCGUAGAUAUUAGGAGGAACACCAGUGGCGAAGGCGGCUUACUGGACUGUAACUGACGUUGAGGCUCGAAAGCGUGGGGAGCAAACAGGAUUAGAUACCCGAGUAGUCC
rnacentral:rRNA from 1 species